UACGGAGGGGGCUAGCGUUGUUCGGAAUUACUGGGCGUAAAGCGCACGUAGGCGGAUCUGCAAGUCGGGGGUGAAAUCCCGAGGCUCAACCUCGGAACUGCCUUCGAUACUGCGGGUCUCGAGUCCGGGAGAGGUGAGUGGAAUUCCUGGUGUAGCGGUGGAAUGCGCAGAUAUCAGGAGGAACACCAAUAGCGAAGGCAGCUCGCUGGGACGUUACUGACACUGAGGCGCGAAAGCGUGGGGAGCGAACAGG
rnacentral:rRNA from 1 species